rnacentral:misc_RNA from 1 species
AAGUCGUAACAAGGUUAUCAUUAACACGUAUCCAACGUUAAACCCCCCGUGCACACAGCGAUUUGCUCCCCUCAAUUUCGGUCUUUUGGCAAUCCCUGGUAAAUCAUCGCUGAACAGUUUUGAUUCAGGGAAUCCAAAGGGCCGGGGUAGGGUAUUAAAGUAGUAGUCAGCCGGAAAACGAAGGUGCCUUCUGUCGCGCACUGUGGAAAGGAAGACGCUUUACGAAUCACUGUCCAACGCGGUCAGUGACCGGGUUCCUGGUCCUAGACCCCAUAUUCACGUCGCAGACAGGUAGGGAUACGUCCCACAAUGGAUAUCUUGGUUCUC